rnacentral:rRNA from 1 species
GACGAACGCUGGCGGCGUGCCUAAUACAUGCAAGUUGAGCGCUGAAGGUUGGUACUUGUACCGACUGGAUGAGCAGCGAACGGGUGAGUAACGCGUGGGGAAUCUGCCUUUGAGCGGGGGACAACAUUUGGAAACUAAUGCUAAUACCGCAUAAAAACUUUAAACACAAGUUUUAAGUUUGAAAGAUGCAAUUGCAUCACUCAAAGAUGAUCCCGCGUUGUAUUAGCUAGUUGGUGAGGUAAAGGCUCACCAAGGCGAUGAUACAUAGCCGACCUGAGAGGGUGAUCGGCCACAUUGGGACUGAGACACGGCCCAAACUCCUACGGGAGGCAGCAGUAGGGAAUCUUCGGCAAUGGACGAAAGUCUGACCGAGCAACGCCGCGUGAGUGAAGAAGGUUUUCGGAUCGUAAAACUCUGUUGGUAGAGAAGAACGUUGGUGGGAGUGGAAAGCUCAUCAAGUGACGGUAACUACCCAGAAAGGGACGGCUAACUACGUG